UGCUAGGACACCGCACAACCACCGCUGCCGGUAUUUGCCCCGGGCGCCUGGCAACUCUGACGCCCCGCUGCGCGGUCCAACCCCUUCUCCGACGCCUGGGGACGUGGACCUGGCCGAGGGAAGGGAGAGGGUACCGGUCCUUGGUGUAAUCACGUUUUACUCUGCUGGGAAGGCGUGUUCAUCUUCCCACCGAAACGCGCCAUAGACUGGAUCAGGCGUUUUUUGCUCAUCAUCGUUUCAAAAAACGUUUACUGAAGGAAAGAAAGGAAGAAGGCAGGAGGAGCGAUAAAGAGAUAGCAAGAGAAAGAGGAUGGAAAGUGGGGAAAAUGAAUAGAUUUCUAAAGGUUGGGAAAGCCUUUUAGCAGGGAGAUGUUUUCCUGGAGGUCUUGGAACUCUCUUGGUCUCACAGCCUCUGUAAACCGAGGGCUGCACACCUGUCUCUAGUCCCCAGCUGAUUUCCAGAGGCCCUUCCAGCUCCUGUGUUGAUUCUUCUGCCUCGACUCACUUCUAGCAGACAAGUACCAUCCAGCUGACCCUGGUAGGCACGUGGCCACAUAAUACGGAUUGCACGAGGUAUUUCCACUGCUAAGUAUAGGAAUCCAGAGGAAUUCUCACACACAAGGCAAGACGUAUGAGGAUGUUGCUGCAGCAUCGUUACUAGUGUUGGAAAUAAGAUGUUCCCCCUUUCUCCUUCUGAUAUGAGAAGAUACUUGUUAGCCCUCAAGCUGCUCAGAUGAGGGACUUUCCUGCCGAGAACCAACGUGAAGAGUGCAGCUUCUAUAAAGGAUUUCACUGGAUUUUUGUACUAAUGAACAAAUUUUAUUUGGAUGAGUAGAUAUUUAAUGUGCUGUUAUUACCACUGGAGUUAAAAGUAUAUUAUAAAUUCUUAUGUCUUUAAAACUAGAGAGAGGAUUCUGGGAAGAUGGCAGAGUAGAAAGCACCAGGAAUCCGACUUCCCACCUAAACAACUGUUCUAGCAGCAUCUGUCUGACACAACUAUUUUAAAACUUUGGGGUCUAUUGAAAGCUAGCAACUUCUAGGGGAAAAGUUGUACAGUAAGCUGCAGUUAAUUUCAGUGAAUUUCAGCACAG
rnacentral:lncRNA from 1 species